rnacentral:rRNA from 1 species
GACGAACGCUGGCGGCGUGCUUAACACAUGCCAGUCGAACGGACAGACCCUGCUUUUGUGGCUUGCUCGAUUGGGGAGCGGGGGAGUAACACAUGUGUAAAAUGCACUUGACUUUGGGAUAUCAUCACGAGACUGGGGCUAAUACCGGGUAUAACAUGCUGCUCCGUGGUGGGGGUUGGAAAGUUUCGGCGGUUGGGGAUGGACUCGCGGCUUAUCCGUUUGUUGGUCGGGUAGUGGCGUACCAAGGCUUUGACGGGUAGCCGGCCUGAGAGGGUGACCGGGCACAAUGCGACUGCGAUACGGCGCAGACUGCUACGUGAGGCAGUAGUCGGGAACAUGGCACAGUGGGCGGACGCCUGAGGCAGAAACCCCGCGUGCGGGAUGACGGGCUUCGGGGUGUAAACCGCUGUCGCCUGUGACAAAGCGGGAGUGACGGUAAUGGGUAAAGAAGCACCGGCUAACUACGUG